GACAGAGGGUGCAAACGUUGCUCGGAAUUACUGGGCGUAAAGCGCGUGUAGGUGGAUUGGUGUGUCAGAUGUGAAAUCCCUGGCUCAACCCAGGAACUGCACCUGAAACUACCAGUCUUGGGUGGUGGAGAGGGAAGUGGAAUUCCUGGUGUAGAGGUGAAAUUCGUAGAUAUCAGGAGGAACACCAGUGGCGAAGGCGGCUUCCUGGACACUAACUGACGCUGAGACGCGAAAGCGUGGGGAGCAAACAGG
rnacentral:rRNA from 1 species